rnacentral:rRNA from 1 species
GUUCCUACGGGGCGCAGCAGUGGGGGAUAUUGCACAAUGGGGGGAACCCUGAUGCAGCGACGCCGCGUGGGUGAAGGAGCGUUUCGGCGCGUAAAGCCCUAUCGGCAGGGAAGAAGGAGGACGGUACCUGACUAAGAAGCCCCGGCUAACUACGUGCCAGCAGCCGCGGUAAUACGUAGGGGGCAAGCGUUAUCCGGAAUGAUUGGGCGUAAAGGGUGCGUAGGCGGCCUGCUAAGUCUGGAGUGAAAGGUACCGGCUCAACCGGUAUAGGCUCUGGAAACUGGCGGGCUAGAGAGCAGGAGAGG